rnacentral:rRNA from 1 species
AUUGAACGCUGGCGGCAGGCCUAACACAUGCAAGUCGAGCGGAUGAUGGGAGCUUGCUCCUGGAUUCAGCGGCGGACGGGUGAGUAAUGCCUAGGAAUCUGCCUGGUAGUGGGGGACAACGUUUCGAAAGGAACGCUAAUACCGCAUACGUCCUACGGGAGAAAGCAGGGGACCUUCGGGCCUUGCGCUAUCAGAUGAGCCUAGGUCGGAUUAGCUUGUUGGUGAGGUAAUGGCUCACCAAGGCGACGAUCCGUAACUGGUCUGAGAGGAGGAUCAGUCACACUGGAACUGAGACACGGUCCAGACUCAUACGGGAGGCAGCAGGGGGGAAUAUUGGACAAUGGGCGAAAGCCUGAUCCAGCCAUGCCGCGUGUGUGAAGAAGGUCUUCGGAUUGUAAAGCACUUUAAGUUGGGAGGAAGGGUUGUAGAUUAAUACUCUGCAAUUUUGACGUUACCGACAGAAUAAGCACCGGCUAACUCUGUGCCAGCAGCCGCUGUAAAAC